GACGUAGGGGGCGAGCGUUGUCCGGAAUCACUGGGCGUAAAGAGCUCGUAGGCGGGGUCGCGCGUCGUGGAGUAAAUUUCUAUGCUCAACGUAGACAUCUUCUGCGAUACGGCGACUCUUGAGGACAGGAGAGGAAAGCGGAAUUCCGAGUGUAGCGGUGAAAUGCGUAGAUAUUCGGAGGAACACCAGUGGCGAAGGCGGCUUUCUGGCCUGAUUCUGACGCUGAGGAGCGAAAGCCAGGGUAGCGAACGGG
rnacentral:rRNA from 1 species